GCAGAGGUCGCAUAGUGGCCGUGCGCAGGCCUGCAGAGCCUGAUAUCGGGGGUUCAAUUCCCUCCCUCUGCU
rnacentral:tRNA from 1 species